CCAUCAGAUACCGGUGGCACAUAUCAC
rnacentral:sRNA from 1 species